GCUUCCAGGGGCUUUAACCAUAGAGAAAGAAUUCCUUUCUCUAUGCUUUAACCGCGAGCGAUUCAAAGGGCCGUGCUCAUGGCUCGCAAGCGUUCGCUCGCCGGUGCUCAUGGUUCUCUUCCCAAGUUCUAUCGAGUCUGCAUAGCGUGUGCACCGCUCGUGGCUCUUUUGGUUACGUUCAAGCCUUGACCAGCGCCUGCAGAUACGGUGCAGUUCCUUACGGGCACAUGUUGGAACGGAAAUAAAGAGUUCAACGGUGGCUAAGCAGCCAUAUUUUUCAACAGUUGUGUGCUCAUUAAUCAAACUUAAGUUAUUUUACUCUCACGAAACCACAAGGCCUGCUGCCUUCCGUUGUUUUUGUCUAGUCAAGCAAUUUUACUCUUUCACGGAACCACAAGGCCUGCUGGCUUCCAUUGUUUUUGUCUAGUCAAGAGCAAACUUCUGUGGGCAGCCAGUGAUAUCCAAGAGGGAAGGGACCUGGAUUGCUGUGGUUACUGCAGCUGCGUCUUAUUUUAUAUAUAUGGUCACCUUUUCUACUGUAUUUAAAAAUUAUGUAAAAUCAUUCUGCAUGUCCUUUAA